rfam:Arabis alpina cultivar Pajares scaff_57218_1_contig_0, whole genome shotgun sequence.
GUGCUUGGGCGAGAGUAGUACUAGGAUGGGUGACCUCCUAGGAAGUCCUCGUGUUGCACCCC